CUCCUCCUUUCAUUUACUGGUUCAAGAAACACUGAUUGUAUUCCAAUUGAGUUGGGUGGGCUGGAUGUGUAACUGGUGGGCUGUGGGGAUGCCUCAAAUAUCUGUAGAAUGAGUAAAAAGUUAUUUGUGAAAUAAGCUUAUUAUUAAUUGCUUUGACUGAUGUGUUAUCUCUUAUUCUUUGCAGGUCGCUCUGAGGUGACAGUGAUCAUCAGGACUCCUGUUCUUGUCUCACCAGUCGAGUGUGCGAGCCAUCCUAAAACUCAGUGGCUGAAGAUGAGAGCUGUCCCAUUUGCUCACGACUCUGCAGUUAGAGCUGAAUCCAACUGCGUGGCUCUUUUGCCAGCCUUACCAACGCAUCACUCGACAGCUAUGGGUCAAGCUCAGCUGAAGGUUGGCCUGACUGGGCCUCUUCCCACCCGUCUCUGAUGAUAGCUUCAUGCUUGACUCCUCCAAACAAUCUUCACAUAGAAAGCAGACAUCUUCCGUACCUCCCCAGGACUGUCAAAAACGCAGAAGCUGUCCACCCAUCACAUUCACAGUUCGAGACCAGAAAGGGACAUGUGAGGGGAAAAAAAACCCUACUUCCAGUACCUAAUGAUGGUAACACCUUCCGAGUAAUGUCUCAAAACAAUAGAUACAGAACACAGGGGUCGAGGACUGGACAUGUCCCUGGACUCACAAGUCCUGAGGAGGUCUCCAUUUCGUCUUCUCUCACCAGAAGCUUCCCCUCCUGGGAUGAUUCUGAGACUAUGUCUUCACAGUGGACUUACUGCCAGCCCUAUGCACACCAACUUCACACCACUGGGAUUGGAAAAGCUGGACAGAGGCACUGGCAAGGUGGCCCAGUGAGUAGGGAUAUUGCUGCCAAGCCUGAUGACCUGAGUUCAAUCCCUGGAGCCCAUUCAGUGAAGGAAGGGACCAACAACCAAGUUGUUCAUGAUCUCAACACGUGUGGUGUAAGUGUGCCCCCUGCCCAUCAACCAACAAGUGAGGGUAAAAAGAAGAGCAGGCAAGCAUGGUAGAAAGGUCAGUGCAAUGGAAUGCCCCAGAUGUUCUGGGUCACUCUCUAGGUGUCUAACAGGGGCUGUUUGUAGAACUUUUGUGCAGAAUUGCUUUUCAAAGUGUUUGGCUAAGUAGAACUGAAGGAUCCUAGUUCUUACUAAAGUGUAAGAGCUAUUAAGAGGCUUGGCCUGGUAGAACGUAGGUAGGUUAUGGGGACCUAGGGAUUUUUGCCAGUUUUACACCCACCGCCUCAGGUCAAGAUUAGGCCAACUACCAGCUUCCCACCUCCAGU
rnacentral:sRNA from 1 species